AACGAACGCUGGCGGCAUGCCUAACACAUGCAAGUCGAACGAGACCUUCGGGUCUAGUGGCGCACGGAUGCGUAACGCGUGGGAAUCUGCCCUUGGGUUCGGAAUAACAGUUGGAAACGACUGCUAAUACCGGAUGAUGACGUAAGUCCAAAGAUUUAUCGCCCAAGGAUGAGCCCGCGUAGGAUUAGCUAGUUGGUGAGGUAAAGGCUCACCAAGGCGACGAUCCUUAGCUGGUCUGAGAGGAUGAUCAGCCACACUGGGACUGAGACACGGCCCAGACUCCUACGGGAGGCAGCAGUGGGGAAUAUUGGACAAUGGGCGAAAGCCUGAUCCAGCAAUGCCGCGUGAGUGAUGAAGGCCUUAGGGUUGUAAAGCUCUUUUACCCGGGAUGAUAAUGACAGUACCGGGAGAAUAAGCUCCGGCUAACUCCGUG
rnacentral:rRNA from 1 species